rnacentral:rRNA from 1 species
GAGAGCGAUUAAGCGAGUUCUUGCGCCGUGGAUUAGUUGCGAACGGGAUGACAUAUACUAUAAGACCCUUCCCUUUCGUUCGGGAUAAGCAUGGUAAACUGGGUCUAAUACAGCCUCCGACCUAUCACCGCAAGGUGUGUAGGUGUAAAGUUUUUGGAGGUUUCGGAUCCCUUCGCGCCAUUUCAGAAGGUGGAGGAUGUCCUAGCCAACCAUGGCUACCACGGGUAGGCGGCUUGUGAGCCUCACCGGCCACACUGCACGUUCCACACUCUUAAGAUUCGCACCAGUAGGGACUGUUGGGCAUUGGGCACAAGCCUGAGGCAGCCCCGCCGCGACGCCGAUUGAGGGAUCGGGCCUUCGGGUCUAAACCUCUUUCAGUACAGAACAAGACAUCAUUUUUCUGGUGUUGACGGUACCUGCAGAAAAAGCCCCGGCUAACUACGUGCCAGCAGCCGCGGUAAUACGUAGGGUGCAAGCGUUAUCCGGAAUUAUUGGGCGUAAAGCGCUCGUAGGCGGUUUGUUAAGUCUGAUGUGACGGCUCAACUCCGGAUCUGCAUGUGGAAACUGGCAGACUAGAGUGAUGUAGAGGAAAACUGGAAUUCCUGGUGUACGGGUGGAAGGCCCAAAUAUCAGGAGGAACCCCGAUGGCAAAGGCACGUCUCGGGGCGUUAACUGACGCUAAGGACCAAAACGUGGGGGACCGAACAGGAUAAAAACCUGGGAAUCCCAUGCCUAAAACGUUGGGGCUUAGUGGUGGGGGAUUUUCCACCCUCUCCGCGCCGUAUCUAACGCAUUACACGCCCCGCCUGGGGAGUACGGCGCGCGGGGGAAAAACUCAAGAAAUUGACGAGACCCCGCACAAGCGGGGGAGCUGGCGUAUUAUUUCGAUGCACCGCAAAAAACCUUACCAAUGCUUGACUUGGAUUAUAAAACUACAGAAAUGUACUCCCCCUUUUGGGUAGGAUCACAGGUGGUGCAUGGGUGUCGUCACCUCGUGUCGUGAGAUGUUGGGUUAAAUCCCGCAACGAGCGCAACCCUCGUUCUAUGUUGCCACCUCGUUAUGGGGGGACUCUUAGGAGACUGCCGGUGACAACUCGGAGGAAGGUGGGGAUGACGUCAAAUCAUCAUGCCCCUUAUGACUUGGGCUUCACGCAUGCUACAAUGGACAGUACAAAGGGCUGCUAUACUGUGAGGU